CGCGGGAUAGAGCAGUUUGGUAGCUCGUCGGGCUCAUAACCCGAAGGUCGGAGGUUCAAAUCCUCCUCCCGCAACCA
rnacentral:tRNA from 1 species